rnacentral:tRNA from 1 species
GCGUCCGUAGUCUAACUGGCAGGCACCUGCAUUCUAAUCAGGUAUUAUGCGGAUUCGAGUUCCGCCGGGCGCC